rnacentral:tRNA from 1 species
GCAGUAGUAGUUCAGUGGUAGAAUGUCUCCUUCCCAAGGAGAAGGUCGCCGGUUCGAAUCCGGUCUACUGCUCCA